UACAGCGGGUAGUCGCUGUUCCAUGUAAAUGGAGCAGAGGAAAGUCGAGACACGCACACAGAUCUGGGGUCUAUUGGCCGCAGGCUGUGUAAAUUGGUGCCCGGCGCAAGCCGGGGCAGGGCGACCUGACGACGGCAAAAGCGACUCACUGAGUUGUGAGUAGCCAUAAAGUGCCACAGAAACUAUGUCACCGGGCGACCGGUGAGUGCAAGGGUAAACUCCACCUGCGUGCAACCCAAAUAGGCAGGGGCCUUGGCCACCUGCGGGUAGGGGCACCUCGCUGAGCGAGGAAGGAGAGUAUUUCUCCUUAGAUAGAUGACUACUAGAACAGAAUCUCGCUUAUGGCU
rnacentral:RNase_P_RNA from 2 species